rnacentral:misc_RNA from 1 species
UACAGAGGUGGCAAGCGUUGUUCGGAUUUAUUGGGCGUAAAGGGUCCGUAGGUGGCUUGGAAAGUCGGGCGUGAAAUCCCACAGCUUAACUGUGGAACUGCACUCGAAACUUCCAAGCUCGAGUGUGAGAGGGGCAAAGGGAAUUCCCGGUGUAAGAGUGAAAUCUGUAGAGAUCGGGAGGAACACCAGUCGCGUAGGCGCUUUGCUGGCUCACUACUGACACUGAGGGGCGAAAGCCAGGGGAGCAAACGGG